rnacentral:tRNA from 1 species
UCAAAAAGAGUUUGUAGGAAUACUAACUUUGGGAGUUAGAGGAUAGCAAAAAGUUGCUAUUUUUGAA